GAUGAACGCUAGCUACAGGCUUAACACAUGCAAGUCGAGGGGCAGCAUGACCUAGCAAUAGGUUGAUGGCGACCGGCGCACGGGUGAGUAACACGUAUCCAACCUGCCGAUUAUUCCGGGAUAGCCUUUCGAAAGAAAGAUUAAUACUGGAUAGCAUAACGAGAAGGCAUCUUCUUGUUAUUAAAGAAUUUCGAUAAUCGAUGGGGAUGCGUUCCAUUAGUUUGUUGGCGGGGUAACGGCCCACCAAGACAUCGAUGGAUAGGGGUUCUGAGAGGAAGGUCCCCCAUAUUGGAACUGAGACACGGUCCAAACUCCUACGGGAGGCAGCAGUGAGGAAUAUUGGUCAAUGGACGAGAGUCUGAACCAGCCAAGUAGCGUGAAGGAUGACUGCCCUAUGGGUUGUAAACUUCUUUUAUAUGGGAAUAAAGUGGGCCACGUGUGGCUUUUUGUAUGUACCAUACGAAUAAGGAUCGGCUAACUCCGUG
rnacentral:rRNA from 1 species